GAUGACCUAAAAAAUGAGGUCUGUGGAGCGGUUCGGGAUUUUUUGGAAGGCGGUGAGUGGCCAUUGGAUUUAAACAACACAACACUGGUGUUAAUUCCAAAAUUUCCGGGACCGGAGAAGCUAUCCCAAUUCAGACCUAUCAUCCACUAUAACGUCUUAUACAAGUUAGCUUCAAAAGUACUGGCUAAUAGGCUGAAGCAGAUCUUGCCAUUUCAGAUCUCAGAUGAGAAAAGUGCCUUUGUACCAGGGCGCCUCAUUACAGACAAUGUGUUCAUUGCCUAUGAGUGUUUGCACUCGAUUCGGAGCCAGAACCGGAGGAAAAAA
rnacentral:rRNA from 1 species